UACGUAGGGUGCAAGCGUUGUCCGGAAUUAUUGGGCGUAAAGAGCUUGUAGGCGGUUUGUCGCGUCUGCUGUGAAAUUUCGGGGCUCAACCCCGAACCUGCAGUGGGUACGGGCAGACUAGAGUGUGGUAGGGGAGACUGGAAUUCCUGGUGUAGCGGUGAAAUGCGCAGAUAUCAGGAGGAACACCGAUGGCGAAGGCAGGUCUCUGGGCCAUAACUGACGCUGAGAAGCGAAAGCAUGGGGAGCGAACAGG
rnacentral:rRNA from 1 species